UACGAAGGGGACUAGCGUUGUUCGGAAUUACUGGGCGUAAAGCGCACGUAGGCGGAUUUGUUAGUCAGGGGUGAAAUCCCGGGGCUCAACCUCGGAACUGCCUUUGAUACUGCAAGUCUCGAGUCCGAUAGAGGUGGGUGGAAUUCCUAGUGUAGAGGUGAAAUUCGUAGAUAUUCGGAAGAACACCAGUGGCGAAGGCGACUUACUGGACAUGUAUUGACGCUGAGGUGCGAAAGCGUGGGGAGCAAACAGG
rnacentral:rRNA from 1 species